rnacentral:rRNA from 1 species
GGGUCAGUAGGUUGGUCGUGCCACCGGUACGUACUGGUCUCACUGAUUCCUCCUUCCUGAAGAACCGUAAUGCCAUUAAUUUGGUGUUGCGGGGAAACAGGACUGUUACUUUGAAAGAACUAGAGUGUUUAAAGCAAGCUAACGCUUGAAUACAUUAGCAUGGAAUAAUGAAAUAGGACGAUCGAUCCUAUUUUGUUGGUUUCUAGGAUUGACGUA